UACGUAGGCAGCAAGCGUUGUUCGGAGUUACUGGGCGUAAAGGGUGUGUAGGCGGUUUUUUUAAGUUUGGUGUGAAAUCUCCCGGCUCAACUGGGAGGGUGCGCCGAAUACUGAAAGACUUCGAGUGCGGGAGAGGAAAGUGGAAUUCCUGGUGUAGCGGUGAAAUGCGCAGAUAUCAGGAGGAACACCCGUAGCGAAGGCGGCACUCUGGGCCGAAUACUGACACUGAGGGAGCGAAAGCGUGGGGAGCGAACAGGA
rnacentral:rRNA from 1 species